CAGCACCUCAAGUGGUCAGGAUGAUUAUUGGGCCUAAAGCAUCCGUAGCCGGUUCCACAAGUCUUCCGUUAAAUCCACCUGCUUAACAGAUGGGCCGCGGAGGAUACUAUAAGACUAGGAGGCAGGAGAGGCAAGCGGUACUCAGUGGGUAGGGGUAAAAUCCGUUGAUCCAUUGAAGACCACCAGUGGCGAAGGCGGCUUGCCAGAAUGCGCUCGACGGUGAGGGAUGAAAGCUGGGGGAGCAAACCGGAUUAGAUACCCGAGUAGUCC
rnacentral:rRNA from 1 species